GCUACUUGCUCCUGAAUUUUUGCUUCAAGGUUUGCUUUCCAAGGAACCCAAAUGAAGACAGAAUGACUCAAAGAGAAGGUGUAUAAAAGUACUUACGGCAUGUGGCACAUGGUCUCUGUGCCUGGGCACCAGGCAGACUGUGGUAUCAAUUACAGUGGACCCUGUGCAUCCCUCAGCCAUCCGGGCAGGUGCAGACACUCCUCAGGCUAGGGGUAGCCUUGGGAGACUGACUCAGCCAGAAGGUUGCCCUGGAGAAGACCAGGUAGUCCCUGUUGGCAUGCUCAGAGGACAUGUAGAUCUCUCAUGGAUGGUCAGGACAAUCACCAGUACCAGGAUAUCUGGAUCAGGUAAAAGAUAUUCCAAGAGGAGGUUCAGUUCAGAAGGCAGAUGGGGCAGCAAUCAGCACUGGGAUCCCUGUUCAUACACAAUGGGUAAGGGACCCAGGGACUUAAUUCAGCCCAGGGGAAUGAGUUCAGGUGGCGUCUGAGUGAGAAUCAGGGCCAGCGACCAUCAUCUCGGACUGAGAGGACAACUCAAUUCGGAGGCAGAAAUUCAGAUUUCUUGAGGGGCAAUCUAGCAUUUAUCUUUGAAUUAGCAUGAAUUCUUAUAGAAAUGCAGUGUUGCUUUAUAUGUAUAUGAUUUUGAGUUUACACAAAUAGUACAGUAUUAUGAACCUUGCUCUGUAUUUCACUCUUUAAAUCCUAGCACUGAUUUUUUAAAAACAUUUUCUUUCAGGUACAUUUGUUUAUUUAUUUACUUAUGUAUAACUUUUAUACAGUAACAUGCAAAAUAUUAAGAGUGUAGCUCAAUGAAUUUUUAAUAACAGCUAUAUUGAGAUCUAAUUCACCAAUCAUAAAAUUCACAGUUUUAAAGUUUCAGUAGUUUUUGGUAUAUUCACAGUUGUGCAAUCUUUAUCACUGUCUAAUGCAGAAUAUCUUCAUCACCCCCAAAAUAAAUCCUGUACCCAUUAACAGUUACUUCCUGUUCUUCCCUGCUCCUCACCCCUGCACCCAUUAGUCUACUUACUGUCUUAUGGAUUUGCCUCUGCCUCUGUGGAUGUUGGAUAUUUCAUAUAAGUAGAAUCAUAUAUGACCUUUCGUUUCUGGCUUCUUUUACUUAGUAUAAUGUUUUCAAGGUUCAUCUAUGUUGUGGCAUGCAUAAGUACUUCAUUUCUUUUUACUGCUCAGUAAUAUUCCAUUGUAUGGAUAUACCACAUUUUGUUUAUCCAUUCUUCAGUUGAUGAACAUUUGGGUUGUCUCCACAUUUAAGGUAUUAUUGAUAUGAAUAAUGCUGCUAUGAACAUUCAUGUAUAAGUUUUUGUGUGGACAUGUAUUUUCAAUUCUUUUGGGUAUAUACCUAUGGGUGGAAUUCCUGGAUCACAUGCUAAUUAUAUCUUUAACAUUUUGAGGAACUGCCAAACUGUUUUCCAAAGUGGUUGCACCAUUUUACAUUCUCACCAGGAAUAUAUGAGGGUUCCAAUUUCUCUACCUCGUUGCCAACACUUGUUAUUUUCUUUUUAAAUUAUAGCUAUCCUAGUGGGAGUGAAGUGGUAUCUCAUUGCACAUUUUUUUUUUGUAUUUUCUGAGUGACUAAUGAUGUUGAGUGUUGUUUCAUGUGCUUAUUUUAGUGACCAUUUGUAUAUCUUCUUUGAAUAAAUAUCUACUCAAAUGUU